UACGUAGGGCGCAAGCGUUAUCCGGAAUUAUUGGGCGUAAAGAGCUCGUAGGCGGUUUGUCGCGUCUGCCGUGAAAGUCCGGGGCUCAACCCCGGAUCUGCGGUGGGUACGGGCAGACUAGAGUGAUGUAGGGGAGACUGGAAUUCCUGGUGUAGCGGUGAAAUGCGCAGAUAUCAGGAGGAACACCGAUGGCGAAGGCAGGUCUCUGGGCCACUACUGACGCUGAGAAGCGAAAGCAUGGGAGCGAACAGG
rnacentral:rRNA from 1 species